GAUGAACGCUGGCGGCGUGCCUAACACAUGCAAGUCGAACGAAGCUUAAAUAUUGGAGAACUUCGGUUCAAAGAGAUUUAAGACUGAGUGGCGGACGGGUGAGUAACGCGUGGGUAACCUGCCUCAUACAGAGGGAUAACAGUUAGAAAUGACUGCUAAUACCUCAUAAGCGCACAGUAUCGCAUGAUACCGUGUGAAAAACUCCGGUGGUAUGAGAUGGACCCGCGUCUGAUUAGGUAGUUGGUGGGGUAAUGGCCUACCAAGCCUACGAUCAGUAGCCGGCCUGAGAGGGUGAACGGCCACAUUGGGACUGAGACACGGCCCAAACUCCUACGGGAGGCAGCAGUGGGGAAUAUUGCACAAUGGGGGAAACCCUGAUGCAGCGACGCCGCGUGAAGGAAGAAGUAUUUCGGUAUGUAAACUUCUAUCAGCAGGGAAGAAAAUGACGGUACCUGACUAAGAAGCCCCGGCUAACUACGUGCCAGCCGCCGCUGUAAAAC
rnacentral:rRNA from 1 species